rnacentral:rRNA from 1 species
CACGUAGGGCGCAAGCGUUGUCCGGAAUUAUUGGGCGUAAAGAGCUCGUAGGCGGUCUGUUGCGUCCGCUGUGAAAACUCGGGGCUUAACCCCCGAGCCUGCAGUGGAUACGGGCAGACUAGAGGUAGGUAGGGGAGAAUGGAAUUCCCGGUGUAGCGGUGAAAUGCGCAGAUAUCGGGAGGAACACCGGUGGCGAAGGCGGUUCUCUGGGCCUUACCUGACGCUGAGGAGCGAAAGCGUGGGGAGCGAACAG